rnacentral:rRNA from 1 species
UGAGUAACGCGUAAGGAACCUGCCUUUUAGAGGGGAAUAACAAUGAGAAAUCAUUGCUAAUACCGCAUAUGCCAUAGUUAUCACAUGAUAAUAGUGGGAAAGGAGCAAUUCGCUAAAAGAUGGCCUUGCGUCUGAUUAGAUAGUUGGUAAGGUAACGGCUUACCAAGUCGACGAUCAGUAGCCGGACUGAGAGGUUGAACGGCCACAUUGGGACUGAGAUACGGCCCAGACUCCUACGGGAGGCAGCAG